UACGGGGGGGGCAAGCGUUGUUCGGAAUUACUGGGCGUAAAGGGCUCGUAGGCGGCCAACUAAGUCGGAUGUGAAAUCCCCAGGCUUAACCUGGGAACUGCAUCCGAUACUGGAUGGCUUGAAUCCGGGAGAGGGAUGCAGAAUUCCAGGUGUAGCGGUGAAAUGCGUAGAUAUCAAGAGGAACACCUGAGGCGAAGGCGGGUUGCUAGGCUGACACUGACGCUGAGGCGCGAAAGCUAGGGUAGCAAACGGG
rnacentral:rRNA from 1 species